rnacentral:rRNA from 1 species
CCUACGGGAGGCAGCAGUGAGGAAUAUUGGUCAAUGGGCGGAAGCCUGAACCAGCCAAGUCGCGUGAGGGAAUAAGGCCCUACGGGUCGUAAACCUCUUUUGCCGGGGAGCAAGGGCGGGGACGUGUCCCGGUCCGGAGAGUACCCGGAGAAAAAGCAUCGGCAAAUCCCUUGCCAGCAGCCGCGGUAUUACGGAGGUUGCGCGCGUUAUCCGGAUUUAUUGGGUUAAAGGGGUGCGGAGGCGGGCUUUUAAGUUAGCGGUAAAAAUUCGGGGCUCAACCCCGUCCGGCCGUUGAAACUGGGGGCCUUGAGUGGGCGGGAAGAAGGCGGAAUGCGUGGUGUAGCGGUGAAAUGCAUAGAUAUCACGCAGAACCCCGAUUGCGAAGGCAGCCUUCCGGCGCCCUACUGACGCUGAGGCACGAAAGUGCGGGGAUCGAACAGGAUUAGAUACCCGGGUAGUC